AUGGUCCACAGUAAGUUGCAUCAUUCAGAUCCUCUGCAGGCCAUGGAAAGGCCAAAAAAUUUCUCUUGGCUGGACUGCUUCCAGGACCCGACUAUGGAGGUAUCAUUUGGACAGAUGUGAGGCCGUGAGCAGCUUUGACCCUUAUCUCACUGGAUCUGAUGGCGACUCAAGUUUCCGCUGAUUGCAGAGAGAUCUCUGUGACAUCCCUUGGGGUCUCCUGGAGACUAGCC